rnacentral:lncRNA from 1 species
AUCACAUAUAUUUUUGAAUAGUUCUAAAAGGUUUUAAAAGGAUAUUUUAUCAUAAUAAGUUUUUUUAAUACCUUUUGUUAAUAAUAAAUACGACGUAAAUGGGUUCCUGUUUGUAUGGGGGCGGGAGGUAGGCGGCGUCCAAAUGACUGCAAUUUUUUCCGAAAUUCAACUUUAGUCUAACGAACAUUCAUGCCAAUUUGUAGAGCUCUAGCUCUUUUGGUUUGGUUGAUGCCAAAAAAACGAUCUUUUUACCCAUUGUGCAUUGUGCAUUGGAGGAAUCAAAGCCGUUUUGAAAGUAGUCAGCAAGUGCGUGUGAUGCUUGAGGACUAGGCCGCGCAUGGUUUCAGCACAUAAUGGGAGAUCUGCCGAAGGAUCGUCUGCAAGGAUCUCGAGCUUUUGAAGUUACAGGAGUGGAUUACUGUGGACCCUUCUUCUACCGAUCAAAAAUCUGCACGAAGCCUUCGAUCAAGUGCUGCAUUAGCGUGUUUAUCUGCUUCACCUCUAGGGCCAUGCACAUGGAGCUCGUAAAGGAACUGACCACCGCUUCGUUAUUGGGCGCGCUAAAGCGUUUUACUUCCACUCGAGGAAGCCCAAGUCAAAUUUGAGCAGCUUGAGUUAAGGAAGCUUUAUCUGAGCAACUCCCACAUAAAGGAGGUCUAUGAAUCCAGUUUGCUUGACUCGACUGAUCCCGCGCUCUCCGCACUUUGGUGGAUUGUGGGAAGCGAACGUAAAGACUGAUAAGCAUCGUCUGUACCGCUCCGUUGGGGCAUCCAUCCUUAGUUUCGGCGUGCUGCGUACUUUGAUCUACCAGAUCAACGCAAUCGUUAAUUCUCGCCCUUUGCUCUCGCUUUCAGGAAAUCCCGAUGACCUAGACGUUUUAUACGAGCAUCCAACGGGGGAUUAUGCUCGGGCCAGCAGUUCUUUUAUCUAAUAACCAUAGCGCUGUAACUUCUAGCUGCUUUCCAACAUAAGUUUAACAUAUAUUAAGAUAAGAUCGCGUUGUAAAGUCUUACGCUCGGUAGCGCUUCUACGCUCUUCACGAGAAAGUGCGCUCUGCACCCGACGAAGCGCCUGCAACCAAUAUUCUGUGCUAAUCUCUCGCCGCAUAGGGUUCAAAUCAAACCCUCUAAUCGUUUAUCUGGCCGAGCGAAAGAGAGAGCAGCAAUAACUUUUUAACCCAAAUUUGUUUCUCUUUCUUAUACCUGCUACUCGAAGCGUAAAUAGGGUAUAUUGUAUUUUUGCACAACGUGGAUUUAUGUAAGGCAGAGAAGGAAA